rnacentral:rRNA from 1 species
AGGACCCUACGGGACGCAGCAGUGGGGAAUAUUGCGCAAUGGGCGAAAGCCUGACGCAGCGACGCCGCGUGAGGGAUGAAGGUCUUCGGAUCGUAAACCUCUGUCAGCAGGGAAGAACGGUCACUGUGCUAAUCAGCAGUGAAUUGACGGUACCUGCAAAGGAAGCACCGGCUAACUCCGUGCCAGCAGCCGCGGUAAUACGGAGGGUGCGAGCGUUAAUCGGAAUUACUGGGCGUACAGCGCUCGUAGGCGGUAUGUCAAGUCAAGGGUGAAAUCCCCGCGCUCAACGCGGGAACUGCCUCCCC